rnacentral:rRNA from 1 species
GCCUAAAGAUUAAGCCAUGCAUGUCUAAGUAUAAACGAUUUAAUCGUGAAACCGCGAAUGGCUCAUUAUAACAGCUAUAAUUUACUUGAUCUUGACACAAUCCUACUUGGAUAACUGUGGUAAUUCUAGAGCUAAUACAUGCAUUAAAGCUCUGACCUCACGGGAAGAGUGCAUUUAUUAGAACAAAACCAAGCGGCUUCGGCUGUUUCUGGUUGACUCAUAGUAACUGAGCUGAUCGCAUGGUCUUGCACCGGCGACGUGUCUUUCAAGUAUCUGCCGUAUCAACUUUCGAUGGUAGUGUAUCUGACUACCAUGGUGAUCACGCGUAACGGAGAAUAAGGGUUCGGCUCCGGAGAGUUCGCCUGAGAAAUCGCGAACACAUCUAAGGAAGGCAGCAGGCGCGAAAAUUACCCACUCUCAGCACGAGGAGGUAGUGACGAAAAAUAACGAGACCGUUCUCUUAUGAGGCCGGUCAUCGGAAUGGGUACAAUUUAAACCCUUAACGA